rnacentral:rRNA from 1 species
UACGUAGGGUGCGAGCGUUAAUCGGAAUUACUGGGCGUAAAGCGUGCGCAGGCGGUGAUGUAAGACAGAUGUGAAAUCCCCGGGCUCAACCUGGGAACUGCAUCUGUGACUGCAUGGCUAGAGUACGGUAGAGGGGAUGGAAUUCCGCGUGUAGCAGUGAAAUGCGUAGAUAUGCGGAGGAACACCGAUGGCGAAGGCAAUCCCCUGGACCUGUACUGACGCUCAUGCACGAAAGCGUGGGGAGCAACAGG